CACACACACACACACACACACACACACACACACACACACACACACACACACACACACACACACAAAGUUAUACUCCUGGGCUGAGAAGCUAAAGCGUUUAAUGGCAGCUUAUUCUCUAGUCUGAACAAACAGUGAAUGCUGUCAACCUCAACGUUCAGCUGCGUUAAUUCCAGCAUAUGCAAUAUAGAUAGUGCUUUCUUGGUAGAAGACGUGUCACACAUUUUUAUAUUACCUUUAUAUUACCAUUAUUUAACUAGGCAAGUCAGUAAAGAACAAAUUCUCAUUUUCAAUGACAGCCUACGAACAGUGGGUUAAUUGCCUUGUUCAGGGACAGAACGACAGAUUUGUACCUUGUACCUUGAUUCGAACUUGCAACCGUUCUAGUUACUAGUCCAACACUCUAACAACUAGGCCCAAGCCUGAUGACUCUAAGAAUACUGACACCUGCUGGUUUGGGCAUCGUAACUAAAAGCCUAAACCUGUCAGGUGGAAAACUGAAGAGUAUCCAGGGUAACAGUCCUGCUGAAGAGUAUCCAGGGUAACAGUCCUGAUGAAGAGUAUCCAGGGUAACAGUCCUGCUGAAGCGUAUCCAGGGUAACAGUCCUGCUGAAGAGUAUCCAGGGUAACAGUCCUGCUGAAGAGUAUCCAGGGUAACAGUCCUGCUGAAUAGUAUCCAGGGUAAGAGUCCUGCUGAAGCGUAUCCAGGGUAACAGUCCUGAUGAAGAGUAUCCAGGGUAACAGUCCUGCUGAAGAGUAUCCAGGGUAACAGUCCUGAUGAAGAGUAUCCAGGGUAACAGUCCUGCUGAAGAGUAUCCAGGGUAACAGUCCUGCUGAAGAGUAUCCAGGGUAACAGUCCUGCUGAAUAGUAUCCAAGGUAACAGUCCUGCUGAAGAGUAUCCAGGGUAACAGUCCUGCUGAAGAGUAUCCAGGGUAACAGUCCUGCUGAAGAGUAUCCAGGGUAACAGUCCUGCUGAAGAGUAUCCAGGGUAACAGUCCUGCUGAAGAGUAUCCAGGGUAACAGUACAGUAACAGUACUGCUGAAUAGUAUCCAGGGUAACGGUCCUGCUGAAGAGUAUCCAGGGUAACAGUCCUGCUGAAGAGUAUCCAGGGUAACAGUCCUGAUGAAGAGUAUCCAGGGCAACAGUCCUGCUGAAGAGUAUCCAGGGUAACAGUCCUGCUGAAGAGUAUCCAGGGUAACAGUCCUGAUGAAGAGUAUCCAGGGUAACAGUCCUGCUGAAGAGUAUCCAGGGUAACAGUCCUGCUGAAGAGUAUCCAGGGUAACAGUCCUGCUGAAGAGUAUCCAGGGUAACAGUCCUGCUGAAUAGUAUCCAU
rnacentral:lncRNA from 1 species